rfam:Marine bacterium AO1-C Bin2_contig__2_len_1495235_cov_100.329_ID_3, whole genome shotgun sequence.
CGCGGGGUAGAGCAGUUGGUAGCUCGUCGGGCUCAUAACCCGGAGGUCGCAGGUUCGAGUCCUGUCUCCGCUA